ACUCCUGCGGGAGGCAGCAGUGGGGAAUUUUGGACAAUGGGCGAAAGCCUGAUCCAGCAAUGCCGCGUGUGUGAAGAAGGCCUUCGGGUUGUAAAGCACUUUUGUCCGGAAAGAAAUCCUUGGCUCUAAUACAGUCGGGGGAUGACGGUACCGGAAGAAUAAGCACCGGCUAACUACGUGCCAGCAGCCGCGGUAAUACGUAGGGUGCGAGCGUUAAUCGGAAUUACUGGGCGUAAAGUGUGCGCAGGCGGUUUGCUAAGACCGAUGUGAAAUCCCCGGGCUCAACCUGGGAACUGCAUUGGUGACUGGCAGGCUAGAGUAUGGCAGAGGGGGGUAGAAUUCCACGUGUAGCAGUGAAAUGCGUAGAGAUGUGGAGGAAUACCGAUGGCGAAGGCAGCCCCCUGGGCCAAUACUGACGCUCAUGCACGAAAGCGUGGGGAGCAAACAGGAUUAGAAACCCUGGUAGUCCCAUG
rnacentral:rRNA from 1 species